GAUGAAGAACGUAGCGAAAUGCGAUAAGUAAUGUGAAUUGCAGAAUUCAGUGAAUCAUCGAAUCUUUGAACGCACAUUGCGCCCUCUGGUAUUCCGGGGGGCAUGCCUGUUCGAGCGUCAUUAUAACCACUCAAGCUCUCGCUUGGUAUUGGGGUUCGCGGUUCCGCGGCCCCUAAAAUCAGUGGCGGUGCCUGUCGGCUCUACGCGUAGUAAUACUCCUCGCGAUUGAGUCCGGCAGGUCUACUUGCCAGCAACCCCCAAUUUUUACAGGUUGACCUCGGAUCAGGUAGGGAUACCCACUGAACUUAAGCAUAUCAAUAAGCGGAGGA
rnacentral:misc_RNA from 1 species